rnacentral:rRNA from 1 species
UACGAAGGGGGCUAGCGUUGCUCGGAAUCACUGGGCGUAAAGCGCACGUAGGCGGCUUUUUAAGUCAGGGGUGAAAUCCUGGAGCUCAACUCCAGAACUGCCUCUGAUACUGGCGAUCUCGAGUCCGGGAGAGGUGAGUGGAACUGCGAGUGUAGAGGUGAAAUUCGUAGAUAUUCGCAAGAACACCAGUGGCGAAGGCGGCUCACUGGUCCGGUACUGACGCUGAGGUGCGAAAGCGUGGGGAGCAAACAGG